rnacentral:rRNA from 1 species
AUUGAACGCUGGCGGCAGGCCUAACACAUGCAAGUCGAACGAGUGGCGGACGGGAGAGUAAUGUCUGGGAAACUGCCCGAGGGAGGGGGAUAACUACUGGAAACGGUAGCUAAUACCGCAUACCAUCGGAUGUGCCCAGAGGGGAUUAGCUAGUAGGUGGGGUAACGGCUCACCUAGGCGACGAUCCCUAGCUGGUCUGAGAGGAUGACCGUCCACACUGGAACGGCGACACGGUCCAGACUCCUACGGGAGGAAGCAGUGGGGAAUCUUGCACAAUGGGCGCAAGCCUGAUGCAGCCAUGCCGCGUGUAUGAUGAAGGCCUUCGGGUUGUAAAGUCCUUUCAGCGAGGAGGCGUUACUCGCAGAAGAGGCACCGGCUAACUCCGUGCCAGCAGCCGCGGUAAUUC